UGUGCACCAGUGGGGUCCCUCGGCCUGGCCUGUGCCCUCUCGCAAUCUGGGACCCCUCGGAGGAUGUCGGAGAGCCGAUUUCAGCCCGAUCCCGCAGGCCAGGCUGAGGGACUCCACUGGUGCACA
rnacentral:pre_miRNA from 1 species